rnacentral:tRNA from 1 species
CGAGAUCGGACGUAAAAAGCCACCUUUGCCGGGAGGAGCAGGUGGCAACACCACCCGACUCGC